rnacentral:rRNA from 1 species
AUUGAACGCUGGCGGCAGGCUUAACACAUGCAAGUCGAGCGAGUGGCGGACGGGUGAGUAAUAUAUCGGAACGUGCCCAGUAGCGGGGGAUAACUACUCGAAAGAGUGGCUAAUACCGCAUACUAUUGGAGCGGCCGAUAUCGGAUUAGCUAGUAGGUGGGGUAAUGGCUCACCUAGGCGACGAUCCCUAGCUGGUCUGAGAGGAUGACCAGCCACACUGGAACUGAGACACGGUCCAGACUCCUACGGGAGGCAGCAGUGGGGAAUAUUGCACAAUGGGCGCAAGCCUGAUGCAGCCAUGCCGCGUGUGUGAAGAAGGCCUUCGGGUUGUAAAGCACUUUCAGCGAGGAGGCGUUACUCGCAGAAGAAGCACCGGCUAACUCCGUGCCAGCAGCCGCGGUAAUUC